AUAGAAGUGGAAGACGCAUUACGCGAAACAGAAAGUAAAGCGAUAGACGGUUAACAAGAGAGAAGUGUCAUGGUAGUCAAGUGUAAUCCAUCACAAUCCAUACACAUUUUACGACUUUGGUAGUAUCCUGGUUUCACAAUUUUCUGCAUUAAACCUGUGGACCAAGAGUAACGUCUUCAGAGUCGUGGUGUAGAAGAUGAGUUUAGCUGACUGUCCAAACCAGGCUGAGACGCUCAUCUUUGAUCUGCUGAGAGGCCUGUUUCAGGCAAGAUUCAGCGGAUAGCAGAGCGAUGAAGGGAAACGGCGGCGAUUUCUGGAAGGCAGUCCCUGUCCCUCCUCCUCCACAUGACAGGGAAGUAUCAUGUGUGACUCACAGCUGGGACUUCCUUUUGGUGGCGAUGGCGGAUGAUGCGAUGGAGGUGUCGUUGCAUCAGCGCUCGCCUAGGAAUGGAGGCGAUAGCAGACCGGUUUGUAUGUUUGUGUGUCAUAUUAUUUUAGGCAAUGGCCUCUUAAUGCGCUUGUACCUUGCAGAUAUGUAUGACUACACUGCAUCAGGCUGUUAGACACUUAUAACAUUAUGAAUUUUGAUUUUUGUUUUUCAAUUACAUGCGAGUUUCACUAGUUGUGGCUAGACCUGGACCCUAUGGCCCGCGAACAAGGGGGUCUGUACUCCUCUUGCUGUGCGUCUGCAUGCAGAAACAUGGUGUUGUGCAACAGUGUAGCCUGCUGGCUGAUCAUCAAACUGCAUUAUCAAGCCCGUUGUCUACAGUACAGAACAUUUACUGCUUUGAGUAGAGCGUGGACUUCAACAAACGUCGAGAUGUUCGGCCUUGGUGGAGAAAGUUGAUCGCCAGCCUCGACUGCUUUAUUUUUCCUUGCAUUACUCAAUUUUCGCUCAUUUAACAUUCGUCCCUCUCCCCACUGGGAAAAAUGGGGGAAAUUGUUGAGCUAGCAAAAACCUGGCUGUCCCACGAAGGUCAAAACGUUAACCGCGCCACUGGCAAAUGACUCACGCACCGCUCGAUGGCGUUCUGCUCCGUUGAGUUUAACGUGACAAAGUAUAAGGUGGGAGGCGGAGGGGGACAAGCUGCUUCGACAUACAAUAUAAAAUAAUAAAUGUAUUACAGUA